UUGUUUGCCUGGUAGGGGAGACACCAUAGUCAUAGAAGGUGGGUUUUCUAGAGUGAAGCCAAUCCUUUACACUCUGGAUGUGCUGAUCCCUGUAAUUUCCCAGAUGUGGAUCCCUGUAAUUUCCCAGGAACCUCAGCUGCAUAAUUUUUGGUAGGAGACUGCACCUUUCC
rnacentral:snRNA from 12 species